GUGGGGAAUAUUGGGCAAUGGGCGCAAGCCUGACCCAGCAACGCCGCGUGAGGGAAGAAGGCUUUCGGGUUGUAAACCUCUGUCCUUGGUGACGAAACAAAUGACGGUAGCCAAGGAGGAAGCCCCGGCUAACUACGUGCCAGCAGCCGCGGUAAUACGUAGGGGGCGAGCGUUGUCCGGAAUUACUGGGCGUAAAGGGUGCGUAGGUGGCCUUUUAAGUUGGAUGUGAAAUACCCGGGCUUAACUUGGGGGGUGCAUCCAAAACUGGGAGGCUAGAGUGCAGGAGAGGAAAGCGGAAUUCCUAGUGUAGCGGUGAAAUGCGUAGAUAUUAGGAAGAACACCAGUGGCGAAGGCGACUUUCUGGACGAAAACUGACGCUGAGGCGCGAAAGCCAGGGGAGCGAACGGGAUUAGAUACCCGUGUAGUCC
rnacentral:rRNA from 1 species